UACGGGGGGGAGCAAGCGUUGUUCGGAUUUACUGGGCGUAAAGGGCGCGUAGGCGGCCACCGCAAGUCGACUGUGAAAUCUCCGGGCUUAACCCGGAAAGGUCAGCCGAUACUGCGGGGCUAGAGUGCAGAGGGGGCAACUGGAAUUCUCGGUGUAGCGGUGAAAUGCGUAGAUAUCGAGAGGAACACCUGCGGCGAAGGCGGGUUGCUGGGCUGACACUGACGCUGAAGCGCGAAAGCUAGGGGAGCGAACGGG
rnacentral:rRNA from 1 species